AACGGUCUAUACCUGCGGUACCUGCGGAGGGAUCAUUACCGAGUGAGGGCCCUCUGGGUCCAACCUCCCACCCGUGUUUAUCGUACCUUGUUGCUUCGGCGGGCCCGCCGCAAGGCCGCCGGGGGGCGUCUGUCCCCGGGCCCGCGCCCGCCGAAGACACCUGUGAACGCUGUAUGAAGAUUGCAGUCUGAGCGAAAAGCUAAAUCGUUAAAACUUUCAACAACGGAUCUCUAGAUCGGA
rnacentral:misc_RNA from 1 species